rnacentral:rRNA from 1 species
UACAGAGGUGGCAAGCGUUGUUCGGAAUUACUGGGCGUAAAGGGCGCGUAGGCGGUCCUGUAAGUCCCGUGUGAAAUCCCCCGGCUCAACUGGGGAAUGGCACGGGAGACUGCGGGGCUUGAGUUCGGGAGAGGGAAGCGGAAUUCCGGGUGUAGCGGUGAAAUGCGCAGAUAUCUGGAAGAACACCGGUGGCGAAGGCGGCUUCCUGGCCCGUAACUGACGCUGAAACGCGAAAGCGUGGGUAGCAAACAGG